GUGAUCUGCAGGCAAGAGAGCCAGGCCUUAAUCACUGUGCAAACUGCCCCAGCAGCCAUUCCCCAGAGUUCUGUGGGGCACAGGGCACCCAAACCUCCUGACACAGCCCGACCCUGCCUCUCCAGCUGCUGGGCAAAAAUCCAUUGUGGUUCUAGCACUGUCAAAUAACAGCAUGGCCCCAGCCCUUGGCGAGCAGCUCAGUGCUGUUGUCAGCCAGCUGCCAGAACUCUGCACACCUUGUUUGGUGUUUCCAGCCAUGCUGCCAAAACAACCAGGGCCAUGAGCAGAGUGACUCUGGGCUCUGCAGGGCCUCGGCAGCAUCUCCAGGCCAGGUGAGGAGGGAGCACUUUUCUUCCUUGGCACUUAGUGUUGCUAAGUCACAGAACCUGCUUCAUUUCACAGCAGAGGAGGCUGGCUUUGGAUGGCUUUUUCCUGGUUUUUUUACUCCUUGAUGAUCCAUGUGUGUAUGCAACCCAGCCUUUCCAAAGAUGGAUGUCUCCAGUGCUCUCACAGGUCAGGGCUGGGUUUUCAAAAGUACUGAAAAACCAACAGUCCCCAUUGAAAACUUAAAAAUAUCUUGGCUGCAGUUGCUAAGAGAGUAUGAAUCCCUCAAGGCAAGGAAUAUUCCUUGAAUAUCAACUAUGCUGGGAUUGCCUCAUCCGCAAGACUGUGAUGAUACUGUAAUAUCAUUACCAUAAAGAUGGGAUUACUUGUAACUUUUGGAAUUGAUCCCCCCUUUUCCCACAAUGCCAUGAUCCAGUGGGCCGAACAAUGUGAGCCUCAUUUUCCUACCUCUAAUAUAUGCAAAUGUAGCCAAGUAGUUGGAGCUAACAACAGUCCCAUCUUUCUUUGGAAGCCUCGAUUCUCUUGGAUCAAGGUCGACACCUGUCACACGAGGAGGUAAAGCAAAUUCAAUGAAGCUACUAAACUGAUAUUUUAUAAACCCAGUAACUUCCCAGCUAACAAGUCCACCCAAAACACGGGCAGGUCAGUGCUGUGCUCAGGGAGCUGCAGAACACUGAACCAAACAACAGCUGGUAAGUUAAAUAAAGUAGAAAUAACAAAUUAUUGAAAAUAUCAAACAUCUAGAAAAUGGCAAAUUCAGUUAAAAGUCUAUUGCCAAGUGAAACCCCUUGUGCCUAUUCCCACUGGGGCUUCUGAAAUAAUUUUACUUCAUGAAGCUUCACAGUUCUCCAGUGGCCUUCCCAGCCUAACCAUGCCAUGUGCUCCUGUUACUGGGGACACACAUCAGACUCAUCCUUAACUUUGUGGCCUUGGAGAAGAGCUGUUGUUGGCAUAACUUGUAAAAGACUCCCCACCCUGAAACAGCGGCAAUUUCACUUUUACUCUCCCCAGCAUGCUGGCUCUGGGCAGGCUGGGCAGGUCACUCUUCCUGCAGGCCUGUGCUCCCACCCCACUCCCAGCCUGUCCUCUGCUCUCCAACGGGAAGAGCGGCUCUUUGAGCAGGGUUUGCACUGCUCCAUCCCAACCCUGUGUCUGUGCAGGUACCUACCAUCGUUCUGGUUGAUGGAAGACUUGUUACCAGGGACCAGGGGGUUGACUGCUGUCAGGAUGAAUUUGGGAACUGCAGAGACAAAAGUCAGAGCUGCUUCCUUUCCUGAUGAAGGAAUCCUUCUGGGAGUCCUCGCUCCUGUUUGCAGUGGAGCCAACAGAUGCAGGGGUGCAUACGAAGGAUGCAGAAAGAGUCUCAUCAAGCCCCAAACAGGUGCCCAAUGUAAGGUCUCAAAGUUCCAUUCAGGAUGUGUUGGAAAAAAUGAGCACAUCCCUGUAGCUCUCCAUCUGUGCCAUCUCACAUCUAGAGGUGAAAUGCUGUUUCCAAGUCAGCCCUGGGUUACUGAGAUGACUCAACUGGAUAUCCAAGUUCAGUUCAAGUCAGGUGAGAUCAGUUUUUGUGUUGCAACAGCUCAGGUUACAGGGAAGUUCAGGGUAUUAAAAAGUAGCUUUUGGUUUACUAUGAAGAGGUCAAAAUGUGCUCAAUAUUUAACCAGGGAAACAUGUGCCUUCCAAUAAUGGGUUUUGCACUGGAGCUGAAAUUAUUUGAGUGGGAAAGUGUGUGAGUCACACUCUGCUUUACAAAAAAAGAACAUCUCUAAAUGUGAUUAAGUUCUCUGUAUCCACGAGCUAAACUCCAAGCCACGCAGCAAAAAACACCCUGUAACUUUGGUUUCUGAACAGAAAGGCUGCAGAAAGGACAAGUUUGGAGACAGUAAUACUUCUCUGAAUCUUUUUGCACCACCCCACACAGUGCAGCUUUCUGUGUAUGACAGAUGUUUGACUCCAAGCUUCUGAGGCCAGGGGCUCUAAAGGCCUGGAAUGUCAUUCCUGAGGAUUAAAGCAGUCCCUACAGUCAAGGAUGGCCUCCUGACACCUGCAACUGCAGAAGCUCCCUUGUGCCUCUGGAGGAAGGACAAACACUGCUUGCAGAGAUACGCCAAAGGUUCCCUGAAUCUGUGUGAAUAGAAGAGAAGGUUUGAGACUGAGUUCUUGCCGUUUAAUGUUUGAAAAUGGGGCAGAUGUGUGAUUUUUGGAGUAAACUCCCUGACACCAGUACUAAAUCAGUCCUAUACCUGGGCAGAGCCAUCAGAGACACUGGGCUGAUCUGUCUGGCAAGGGCUCAUGGGGUGCUUUGGACAUGGAUUUUAGGACAGAGCUCUUUGACUUUGCAGAGGCCUGAAAUCCCAAUAGCUGUGUGUCCCAAGAGAGUGCUGGGAAGGCAGGGAAGGGCUGACCUAAAGCAGUGAGUAGUUCUGAUUAACUAAACUCCGCAGUUUUAGUUUCCCUCCCUGGCAAUUCCAGAUGAGUAAGGAUAUAAUUGGAUGGAUGUUUUAGGCUUACUUUGGCAAGUACAAAACCAACUGGAGAGUAUCAGGAGGAGUUGUCAAUUGAUUAAUAAAUUCAUAGACUGGGAGCACAAAAGAAAACUGGCAAACUGAAUUAUGUUUUCUAUAGAAUUCCCUGCCCUGGGAGCUACUCUUGGUGCCCUAUAAAGCCAGGAGGAUGCUGUGCUGAUGGUUUUCUACAUAUUCAGUGAUAUGGCAGGUGUAUUUUUUCAUUUUGCCUUUGCUCAUGUUUCUGUGGGACUGAAUAGCCUCUUAUCAUCUCUAUCCAUGUUAGAUUUAUAUUUAUCAUUACAGCCUGCAGUUCUUGGCAGGCCAGCUUGGGAGAGCCCCCAAGGCUUGCCUGGUGUCACAGGUCAGUAAAUGCAAACCGGGGCUGCUUCUUCUGCAGGACAGGACACACGUUACCUGGAAAGUGUUAUAACUUA